UACGGAGGGUGCAAGCGUUAAUCGGAAUUACUGGGCGUAAAGCGCACGCAGGCGGUUGAUUGAGUCAGAUGUGAAAUCCCCGGGCUUAACCCGGGAAUUGCAUCUGAUACUGGUCAGCUAGAGUCUUGUAGAGGGGGGUAGAAUUCCAUGUGUAGCGGUGAAAUGCGUAGAGAUGUGGAGGAAUACCGGUGGCGAAGGCGGCCCCCUGGACAAAGACUGACGCUCAGGUGCGAAAGCGUGGGGAGCAAAC
rnacentral:rRNA from 1 species